rnacentral:rRNA from 1 species
CCUACGGGAGGCAGCAGUAGGGAAUAUUGCACAAUGGGGGAAACCCUGAUGCAGCGACGCCGCGUGAGUGAGGAAGUAUUUCGGUAUGUAAAGCUCUAUCAGCAGGGAAGAAAAUGACGGUACCUGACUAAGAAGCCCCGGCUAACGACGUGCCAGCAGCCGCGGUAACACGUAGGGGGCAAGCGUUAUCCGGAUUUACUGGGUGUAAAGGGAGCGUAAGCGGCUAGUCAAGUCAGAAGUGAAAGCCCAGGGCUCAACCUUGGGACUGCUUUUGAAACUGAGUAGCUAGAGUGCAGGAGAGGUAAGCGGAAUUCCUAGUGUAGCGGUGAAAUGCGUAGAUAUUAGGAGGAACACCAGUGGCGAAGGCGGCUUACUGGACUGGAACUGACGCUGAUGCUCGAAAGCGCGGGUAUCGAACAGGAUUAGAUACCCCUGUAGUC